rnacentral:rRNA from 1 species
CCUGAUCAGCCAUGCCGCGUGAGUGAAGAAGGCCUUCGGGUUGUAAAGCUCUUUCGGCCGGGAAGAAAUCGCGUGGGCUAAUACCCUGGGUGGAUGACGGUACCGGAAUAAGAAGCACCGGCUAACUACGUGCCAGCAGCCGCGGUAAUACGUAGGGUGCGAGCGUUAAUCGGAAUUACUGGGCGUAAAGCGUGCGCAGGCGGUUUUGUAAGACAGGCGUGAAAUCCCCGGGCUCAACCUGGGAACUGCGCUUGUGACUGCUAGGCUAGAGUACGGCAGAGGGGGGUGGAAUUCCACGUGUAGCAGUGAAAUGCGUAGAGAUGUGGAGGAACACCGAUGGCGAAGGCAGCCCCCUGGGCCGAUACUGACGCUCAUGCACGAAAGCGUGGGUAGCAAACAGGAUUAGAUACCCUGGUAGUCCACGCCCUAAACGAUGUCAACUAGGUGUUGGGUGGGUAAAACCAUUUAGUACCGUAGCUAACGCGUGAAGUUGACCGCCUGGGGAGUACGGCCGCAAGGUUAAAACUCAAAGGAAUUGAC